GCACAAGCGGUGGAGUAUGUGGUUUAAUUCGAUGCAACGCGAAGAACCUUACCUGGUCUUGACAUCCCGGAGACCCUUAGGAAACUAGGGGGUGCUUCCAUCUGGAAGAAUCUGGAGACAGGUGCUGCAUGGCUGUCGUCAGCUCGUGUCGUGAGAUGUUGGGUUAAGUCCCGCAACGAGCGCAACCCUUGCCUUUAGUUGCCAGCAGUUCGGCUGGGCACUCUAAAGGGACUGCCGGUGUUAAACCGGAGGAAGGUGGGGAUGACGUCAAGUCCUCAUGGCCCUUAUGACCAGGGCUACACACGUACUACAAUGGCCGAUACAAAGGGCAGCGACACUGCGAGGUGAAGCCAAUCCCGUAAAAUCGGUCUCAGUCCGGAUUGGAGUCUGCAACUCGACUCCAUGAAGUUGGAAUCGCUAGUAAUCGUGGAUCAGCAUGCCACGGUGAAUACGUUCCCGGGCCUU
rnacentral:rRNA from 1 species